GCUCUCCAUUGGUUUUCAUAACCCGGGGGGAAGUGGGCUGCGUGGUGGAGAUUUACAGAAGGCUGCACCCUCAACGCGAUUUAAAAUGCCUGAUGAGAACAAAUAUGCUGCCAUUUCAAUAUAUCUGAAGCCCCAGAUGUGGCGGGAGAGUCACCGACUCAUGUAGAAGAAUUAAAAGCCUGAAGCCGGUCCAGGUCAAAGGAGGAGAUGGAUUGAGCCAAUUACAGAACAAAACAUGUUAGAGACUUGAUAACAGCGUGAUAAUUCAACUUCCAGCAGGACAACAACCCUAAACACCCAGCUUUAGCCACAGUGGGCUUGUUUAGAUAUAAAACUCCAUUCUGUCUGACUGAAAAUGGGCUACGUUGCAAAGAAGUCUCUAGAUGUGUGAAGCUGGUUGGAACAUGCCCCACAUGACUUAAAGCUGUGCAAACGGGGUUCUCCAAAGCAUUGAAUAAAUACAAGAGCA